rnacentral:lncRNA from 1 species
GGUGAGUUAUUUAGAACUUGGACAUUUAACAGACAUGAGAGACCAUGAGAGCAGACCCUGUCCUUAAAUGUAUGUAGAUUAAAUGUCUUGGUUGAAUGUGUUUGUAGGACUUAAGAGUCUUUUUAUCCUGUGGAGAUGUUGGAAGUGGAAGAUAAUCAAUUUCUUAUCUCUAUUUCUAGACGGUGAACUUCACAGCUUCGGAAAGACUUUGACCUCUGAACAAAAAGCCAGAAGGCUGCUUAAAGAAAUAGUAAGGGUUUCACUUGCCCUAGAUAGUCACAAAUCUAGGAGUACUGGUUCACUGCCUUGGGUUACCAUUACACUCACCCAUUACUUCAUCUCACUGCUUGGAUCCUAAAUAGAUUCCUGCCCGUGGCA